GGUGAGGGAGGAGAGAAAGGGAGAUUUUUGAAGAUGCUAGAUUGCUGGCUUUGAAAAUGGAGAAAGAGGCCACUCCUGCGAGCAAUGUAGAUAGCUUCCAAAAACUGAAAAAGGCGACAAAACAGAUUUUCCCCUGGAGCUGUCAGAAGCGACACAGCCCCAACACCACCUCGACUUUAGCCCAGGACUUGAGGCCUCCAGAGCUGUAAGAAUAAUGAGUUUGUAUUGUUUUAAGCCACUGUGUUUGUGGUCAUUUUGUACGGCAGUAAUGAGGAGCUAUUACAGUGUCGAUAAUUCAUUCUUUGCCACUGUGGUUGAAAUGGUCCCUUCAUCAGUCUAGAGUAUUAAAAAAGCUAACACAGUUAAAAAAAAAUUAACUGAAAGUUAAAGCCUUCACUUUCUUUCCUUUCAGGCUUUCUUCUUUUCUUUGUGUUGAUGCCGAAUUCUAGGAACCAACCUAGAACGAAGAGUGGUUAUCGGUCUCCUCUGGCAAUUCUAUUUUAGCAGAAGAAUAUUCAUCUUGGCGUGUAGAUUAUUAUUCCUCAAUCUGACUAUUGGUUCCCUUUGGGGUGUUCAUCAUUUUCACUGCAGACCCUGGUUCUAAUUGCCUGGGUUAGUGUUUAGAGGAGGUGCAGGAAUGGAGGGAGAUACAGCAUUCUUGGUCCCUAUUGGGAAAUUGUCAAGAGGAAGUCCCUUCCCCACAAAGCUACAAGGUGGCCAACUAGCCUCAAGGGCAGAAAGGAC
rnacentral:lncRNA from 1 species